rnacentral:rRNA from 1 species
AUGAAGCCCUUCUCGCGGAGCCUCCAGCGAGAUCUGGACGCCGCGGCCGAAUACGACGACGAUGGCAAGCAGUACUCCGCCGUCGACGGCAGCGGCAAGCAGAACCCCGAGAGGGGCGCACGGCGGCCGUCCCGGCUCUUCUACCUCGCGCUCCUCUACGUCGUCUUCUGGGCGCUGGUGUUCUACCACCACUUCUCCACCAGCAUGCAACAGUCGGUCAGCGCGGCGGUGGCAGCGCCCGCCGUGCUCCAGCUCAAGCCGUCGGCCUUCUUCUCGGUGCCCCGCAUCUUCCGCCGCGACCCGUGCGCCGGCCGGUACGUGUACAUGUACGACCUGCCGCCUCGGUUCAACGCCGACCUCGUCCGCGAGUGCCGCCGGAUCUCGGGCUCCACCGACGUGUGCAAGGACGUGGCCAACGACGGGUUCGGCCCGCCCAUCAAGGGCGGCGGCGAGGCCGGGUCGCUGCCGGAGAGCGGGGCCUACGACACCGACCAGUACAUGCUCGGCCUGAUCUUCCACGCCCGGAUGCGGCGGCACGAGUGUCUCACGGCCGACCCCGCCGCCGCCGCCGUGGUGUACGUCCCGUUCUACGCCGGUCUCGACUCGGCGAUGCACCUGGGGAGCAAAGACCUCGCGGCGCGGGACGCCCUGUCGCGGGACGUGGUGGACUGGCUGGCGCAGCGGCCAGAGUGGCGCGCCAUGGGCGGGCGCGACCACUUGCUGGUGUCCGGGCGGGGCACGUGGGACUUCAUCGUCAACCCCGACGCCGUCGGCUGGGGCAACGCGCUCAUGACCUUCCCGGCCAUCCUCAACGCCACGUUCCUCACCACCGAGGCCAGCCCGUGGCACGGCAACGACUUCGCCGUGCCGUUCCCGUCGCACUUCCACCCGUCGUCCGACGCCGAGGUCACCGGCUGGCAGGACCGCGUGUACGAGAUGGACCGCCCGUUUCUCUGGGGCUUCGCCGGCGGGGCCCGCGACGGCAGCCAGCGCACGGUGCGCGCCCAGAUCAUGGAGCAGUGCGGCAGGUCGAGCCGGUGCGCGCUGCUCGGCGUGCCGGCGCCGGGGCACUACGCGCCGGGCCGCGCCAUGCGGCUGCUGGAGAGCGCCGAGUUCUGCGUGCAGCCGCGCGGCGACGGGUACACGCGCAAGUCCACCUUCGACACCAUCCUCGCCGGCUGCAUCCCGGUCUUCUUCCACCCCGUCUCCGCCUACCUCCAGUACAUAUGGCACCUGCCGAGAGACCACCGGAGCUACUCCGUCUUCAUCCCGCACGGCGACGUGGUCGAGCGGAACGCCAGCAUCGAGGAGGUGCUGAGCAGGAUACCGCCGGCGAAGGUGGCGCAGAUGCGGGAGCAGGUCAUCCGGCUCAUCCCCACCGUGCUGUACCGGCACCCGGCGGCCAAGGGCGUGACGUUCAAGGACGCGUUCGACGUCGCUCUGGAGCGCGUCAUCGACCGUGUGGCGAAGCGCCGGCGCGCCGCCGCCGAGGGACGGGAGUACGUGGACAGCAUCGACGGGAAAUUUAGCUGGAAGUACGACCUGGCACAGGAUAGGGAGAAAAUGUUGGCUCCGCACGAGUUUGAUCCAUACAUCAACACGUAA